rnacentral:rRNA from 1 species
UGGGGAAUAUUGGACAAUGGGGGAAACCCUGAUCCAGCCAUCCCGCGUGUGCGAUGAAGGCCUUCGGGUUGUAAAGCACUUUUGGCAGGAAAGAAACGUCAUGGGUUAAUACCCCGUGAAACUGACGGUACCUGCAGAAUAAGCACCGGCUAACUACGUGCCAGCAGCCGCGGUAAUACGUAGGGUGCAAGCGUUAAUCGGAAUUACUGGGCGUAAAGCGUGCGCAGGCGGUUCGGAAAGAAAGAUGUGAAAUCCCAGAGCUCAACUUUGGAACUGCAUUUUUAACUACCGGGCUAGAGUGUGUCAGAGGGAGGUGGAAUUCCGCGUGUAGCAGUGAAAUGCGUAGAUAUGCGGAGGAACACCGAUGGCGAAGGCAGCCUCCUGGGAUAACACUGACGCUCAUGCGCGAAAGCGUGGGGAGCAAACAGG